rnacentral:rRNA from 1 species
ACGGGUGAGUAACACGUAUGCAAUCCACCUGUAACAGGGGGAUAACCCGGAGAAAUCCGGACUAAUACCCCAUAAUAUGGGCGCUCCGCAUGGAGAGCCAUUAAAGAGAGCAAUUGUUGUCAGACGAGCAUGCGCUCCAUUAGCCAGUUGGCGGGGUAACGGCCCACCAAGCGACGAUGGAUAGGGGUUCUGAGAGGAAGGUCCCCCACAUUGGAACUGAGACACGGUCCAA